UGCUACCUACGGGACGCAGCAGUGGGGGAUAUUGCACAAUGGGGGAAACCCUGAUGCAGCAACGCCGCGUGAAGGAAGACGGUUUUCGGAUUGUAAACUUCUGUUCUUAGUGAAGAAAAAUGACGGUAGCUAAGGAGCAAGCCACGGCUAACUACGUGCCAGCAGCCGCGGUAAUACGUAGGUGGCAAGCGUUGUCCGGAAUUACUGGGUGUAAAGGGAGCGCAGGCGGGAAGCCAAGUCAGCUGUGAAAACUACGGACUUAACUUGUAGACUGCAGUUGAAACUGGUUUUCUUGAGUGAAGGAG
rnacentral:rRNA from 1 species